AUGGAAGUGUACACAGCUGAACAGCUAUAUGACACCGCAACCAGACGGGGAAAUACCAGAAAGGUCUCUGAUAUCCACGAAAUGACAGCCCUGCUGGUCAUAGAGAAGGAGAUCAGUUAGACUCUCUAAAGGAAGCUGCAGUGUUGUGGCCAAGCCUUGUCAUGGGGUCAGAAGAUGAGGGUCAAAUUCUAAAUUCUCCACUUGAAAAUCAGCUGACUUUGGUGAAAAGGCAUCAUCAAGUCCUACUCUGCAUUUUUCUGAUGAAACACCUGUUAUUCAGAAACCACCUGCUCCUGGUUUCCCAGAGUUCCGGAGAAGGGACUGGAACCCAGGCUCCUGUUUCCUGGCUGGGAAUCUCUCCACCAUGCCCCUACUUUCCCUUGGCUCCUUCUGUUUUCUCACCUCCUACAACCAAUCAGCACGUACCCAGCAGAGUUUCCCAACCUUUCUGAGAGCUGGGAAUGCUUACUGUUAGAAACCCCAGCACACAUCACCAAAGCAUUAAAAUGUGCCCACGUCAAAUAAAAUCUGUGUAUAACUUUAUGAAAAUUGGGUUGCCUUGGCAGUCGACUGAAAGUUACAUUUUAGAAAAUUUAAACACUUAUUAAUGUAUUUCAGUUUGCUUUUUUACAUUUUGAAGUCAUUUUUUUUCCCUCCAGCAGAUGUAAUUAUAGACCCUCGAAAGGCAUUUGUGUCUUUGGUGCUUUAUACAUUACAAAAAACGUCUUAUUUACUUUUUACCCAUUGGUGAGUUCCCCAUCUUCCUUGUUCCUGUUUGCUUAUAAUAGUCAACGACCAUUCCGGAGUCUAGGAAGCAUCUGGAAACUGUUGAGUACUUGGUGGGUGAUAUUUCAUGUAGGUAAUGCUGUUGACUUGCAAACAUGAUCUCAUGCACCAGCGUCCAUUUUUGUCCAAGAGUGUGACAGUCGAAUCUUACAUUUGCCGUAGGUAUUGUGGACUGCAAAGGGCUUUCUCAUAUAUUACCCAUUUGUACAGUACUUGAGCACAAUCUGUAUUAUGUUACAGCUUCUCUUGAUUUUACCAAUAAGAAUCCAAAACUUAGGGAGGAGAAGUGACUGACUCACUCAGAGUUAUAAAGCAAGUGGCAGAACAAAGGUGAGAAUUGCUAUCUUCUGCGUUUCAAGUGUGCCAUGAUGCUUUUGGACCUGGAGAAAUUACUCCUGAAAGAGGAAAUAAGCAAGGAUGGAAUCACUGGGAUAGCUUUAGCUUUGUGUGAGUGCGCGCAUGUGUGUGUGAGACUGAAACUAGCCUUGAAUAUUCUUUAUUUGCCCUACAGAUAGUGGAAUCAAAUUAAUUAAUUAGGUCAACAAAUACUUAUUAGUGAUGGACCCUGUUAUAAGUGCUGGGGAUACAGCAGUGAACUAAAAGAGCCUCACAGAGCUCACAUUCUAUAUGCAACAGGUAAAUGAUAAAUUGACAAGACAAUAUAUAUUAAUAGUAUUUGAUGUCAAUUAGUGUUAAGGAUAAAAAUUAAAGCAGUUGAGGGGAUAGGAAAACUGGGUGGGGGGAGUUGCUGUGUUGUUCAGACAGGUCAAAGGUGACUCAUUUGUAAGGUGGCCUUGAGAAGAGACUUAUAAGGGAGGAAGGAUGUAGCAUGGAUACUGGGAACAGACUAGCCUAGAUGAACAUGUGCAAAGGCCCUGAGACAGGGACAUGUUUGGCAUGUAUGAGAAACCACAAGGAAACCAGCCCAGCUGGAGAAGAGUGAGUAGACUGGGAUGGAGGAGAGAGUUAUUGGUAGAAAAUAAGGUGAAG
rnacentral:lncRNA from 1 species